rnacentral:lncRNA from 1 species
GUCAGAGGGCGGGGGGCGGGGAGGGCAAUAGCACCCCAGAACUGGCAGAUCCCAGGUCUGGUGUUGCGGGCUCAGAGUCAGAAGCUGCCCCUUCCCUUCAGGAGCGACGGUCUUGGAGGCAAGGACUUCUUCAUACCUGGACACCGUGUCCCCAUCCCUUUCACAGCGAGCAGGCAAGGCAUGUCUUUGCCAGCAAAAGAGAUGGAUUUUUCUCUCAGAACUGCCUCGGUGCUGCUGGUUGGACAGUUAUUCUCACCAACAAGAAGGCAGACCACGGUGAGUCUAUCUGCAGCUGGUCCCGCUUACUGAGGGGAAAAGAGAAGACUUCCCCCUGUAACCUGGCUGGAAGCCUUCCCAAGUGGAAGCUAAAAAGGAGCUGCCUCUUGGUGACAUCAAUGUGAGCCCUGAACUGUACCUAAAGCCUAACUGCGCAUGGACUUGUCGCUGAAAGAUUGUUAAGGAAUUUUCUGGACCUUAUCAAGGCCUUGGCCUUAGGAAAUGCAGAAAGUCUUGUGAGGUGACUACACUUCCUUGCCCGUCACAGUGCUCAGCGUCCA